rnacentral:rRNA from 1 species
AUUGAACGCUGGCGGCAGGCCUAACACAUGCAAGUCGGACGGUAGCACAGAGGAGCUUGCUCCUCGGGUGACGAGUGGCGGACGGGUGAGUAAUGUCUGGGGAUCUGCCCGAUAGAGGGGGAUAACCACUGGAAACGGUGGCUAAUACCGCAUAACGUCGCAAGACCAAAGAGGGGGACCUUCGGGCCUCUCACUAUCGGAUGAACCCAGAUGGGAUUAGCUAGUAGGCGGGGUAACGGCCCACCUAGGCGACGAUCCCUAGCUGGUCCGGGAGGAUGACCAGCCACACUGGAACUGAGACACGGUCCAGACUCCUACGGGAGGCAGCAGUGGGGAAUAUUGCACAAUGGGCGCAAGCCUGAUGCAGCCAUGCCGCGUGUAUGAAGAAGGCCUUCGGGUUGUAAAGUACUUUCAGCGGGGAGGAAGGCGAUGUGGUUAAUAACCGCGUCGAUUGACGUUACCCGCAGAAGAAGCACCGGCUAACUCCGUGCCAGCCGCCGCAGUAA